UACGUAGGUGGCAAGCGUUAUCCGGAUUUACUGGGUGUAAAGGGCGUGUAGGCGGGACUGCAAGUCAGAUGUGAAAAUUAUGGGCUCAACCCAUAACCUGCAUUUGAAACUGUAGUUCUUGAGUGAUGGAGAGGCAGGCGGAAUUCCGUGUGUAGCGGUGAAAUGCGUAGAUAUACGGAGGAACACCAGUGGCGAAGGCGGCCUGCUGGACAUUAACUGACGCUGAGGCGCGAAAGCGUGGGUAGCAAACAGG
rnacentral:rRNA from 1 species